GCAGAUCAUUGCUUCGGCUUUCAGGACCUUUGCAAACUUAGAUUAAAUAAAUUAACUUAAAUUAGCUAUCAAAUAUAGCUGUGAGUUUGAAGGGUUCAUAGCCUGGAGGAAAACAGAAGUAAAAUUCAGCAUCUGUCAAAGGUUGCCAAAGUAGUAAUAAACAUGAUAGUUAUCCGAUCCCUUUCCUAGGGCACCAGAUUUGGGCACCACCACAUGUGAUGUGGGGCGGAUUGGCCAAUAGAAGCCAAGUGAAGUCAGACGCUCAAGAUGUAACUAAAGCAUUUAUGAAUAUCAUCUGUCUAAUCUGGAGAAACACAUCUUAUAGUUGGCCACUCUCAUGGUUCUUGUUGCCUUCUGUUGUCUGGAGGAAUCUAAGGAUUUAUGGAAGUUAUGUUGGUAUAUCAGAAGCUCGUUGGUAUAUAUUUGACACUGCCUCUGGAACUCCUUGCCGAACACAAAGCUGUGCUAUUUGCCUGCCUAGAGCAUUGAUGGUAAAAUAGAGUUUUCAAUGUCUGUCACUCAAGGCCUUUCCACAUCUCACCUCAAUCCCUUUUCUCCUCUAAUUUCUGGCCUUACGUUCUCUAAGUCACCAUGUGUUUUACCUAUAAUAAACAAUUUUGCUCCUUAAAUGAUGCCUUACAUUUUUUUUCCCUGAAUUUGCAUCUUUG
rnacentral:lncRNA from 1 species